rnacentral:rRNA from 1 species
AGUGAACGCUGGCGGUAGGCCUAACACAUGCAAGUCGAACGGCAGCACAGUAAGAGCUUGCUCUUACGGGUGGCGAGUGGCGGACGGGUGAGGAAUACAUCGGAAUCUACUUUUUCGUGGGGGAUAACGUAGGGAAACUUACGCUAAUACCGCAUACGACAUACGGGUGAAAGCAGGGGAUCUUCGGACCUUGCGCGAUUGAAUGAGCCGAUGUCGGAUUAGCUAGUUGGCGGGGUAAAGGCCCACCAAGGCGACGAUCCGUAGCUGGUCUGAGAGGGUGAUCAGCCACACUGGAACUGAGACACGGUCCAGACUCCUACGGGAGGCAGCAGUGGGGAAUAUUGGACAAUGGGCGCAAGCCUGAUCCAGCCAUACCGCGUGGGUGAAGAAGGCCUUCGGGUUGUAAAGCCCUUUUGUUGGGAAAGAAAAGCAGCAGGUUAAUACCCCGCUGUUCUGACGGUACCCAAAGAAUAAGCACCGGCUAACUUCGUG